GUCUGAUAGCUCAGUUGGUUAGACUGUGGUGCUCAUAAUGUCAAGGUUGCAGGUUUGAUCCCUUGUAUGGGACA